UACGUAGGGGGGCAAGCGUUGUCCGGAUUUAUUGGGCGUAAAGAGCGUGUAGGCGGCCAGGUAGGUCUGCUGUGAAAACUCGAGGCUUAACCUCGAGCUGUCGGCGGAAACCAUCUGGCUAGAGUCCGGAAGAGGAGAAUGGAAUUCCCGGUGUAGCGGUGAAAUGCGCAGAUAUCGGGAAGAACACCCGUGGCGAAGGCGGUUCUCUGGGACGGUACUGUCGCUGAGACGCGAAAGCGUGGGGAGCGAACAGG
rnacentral:rRNA from 1 species